rnacentral:rRNA from 1 species
UUGUUCGGAAUUAUUGGGCGUAAAGCGCGUGUAGGCGGUUUGUUAAGUCUGAUGUGAAAGCCCCGGGACUCGAACCUGGGAAGUGCAUUGGAUACUGGCAGACUUGAAUACGGGAGAGGGCAGUGGAAUUCCUGGUGUAGGAGUGAAAUCCGUAGAUAUCAGGAGGAACACCGGUGGCGAAGGCGGCUACCUGGACCGAUAUUGACGCUGAGACGCGAAAGCGUGGGGAGC